AGAGUUUGAUCCUGGCUCAGAAUCAACGCUGGCGGCGUGCCUAACACAUGCAAGUCGAACGAGAAAGCUGUCUUCGGACGGCAAGUACAGUGGCAAACGGGUGAGUAACGCGUGGGACAUCUACCCUGAUGAGGGGAAUAACUCUCCGAAAGGAAAGCUAAUACCGCAUAUACCGUGCAAACGGGAAAGGCCUUCGGGCCGCAUCAGGAGGAGCCCGCGUCCGAUUAGCUAGUUGGUGAGGUAAUGGCUCACCAAGGCGACGAUCGGUAGCCGGUCAGAGGACGGACGGCCACACUGGGACUGAGACACGGCCCAGACUCCUACGGGAGGCACAGUGGGGAAUUUUGGGCAAUGGGCGAAAGCCUGACCCAGCAACGCCGCGUGGAGGAAGAAGGUUUUCGGAUCGUAAACUCCUGUCCCAUGAGACGAAAAAAAUGACGGUAUCAUGGGAGGAAGCCCCGGCUAACUCCGUGCCAGCAGCCGCGGUAAUACGGGGGGGGCAAGCGUUGUUCGGAAUUACUGGGCGUAAAGGGCGCGUAGGCGGCUUCGGAAGUCAAGGGUGAAAGCCCCGAGCUCAACUCGGGAACUGCCUUUGAAACCACGGAGCUGGAGUGUUGGAGAGGAAAGCGGAAUUUCCAGUGUAGCGGUGAAAUGCGUAGAUAUUGGAAGGAACAUCUGAGGCGAAGGCGGCUUUCUGGACAGACACUGACGCUGAGGCGCGAAAGCCAGGGGAGCAAACGGGAUUAGAUACCCCGGUAGUCCUGGCCGUAAACGAUGUACACUUGGUGUGGGGGGUAUAAAGUCCCUCCGUGCCGUAGAUAACUCGAUAAGUGUUCCGCCUGGGGAGUACGGCCGCAAGGCUGAAACUCAAAGGAAUUGACGGGGGCCCGCACAAGCGGUGGAGCAUGUGGUUUAAUUCGACGCAACGCGAAGAACCUUACCGGGGUUUGAACUGUACCUGCGACAUCCAGAGAUGGAUGGUUUCCUUAGGGAACUGGUAUAGAGGUGCUGCAUGGCUGUCGUCAGCUCGUGUCGUGAGAUGUUGGGUUAAGUCCCGCAACGAGCGCAACCCUUGUCUGUAGUUGCCAUCAGGUUAAGCUGGGCACUCUACGGAGACUGUCGGCGAUAAGCCGGAGGAAGUUGGGGAUGACGUCAAGUCCUCAUGGCCUUUAUGUCCCGGGCUACACACGUGCUACAAUGGAUGGAACAGAGGGCUGCGAGCCUGCGAAGGCAAGCGAAUCCCAAAAAUCCAUUCUCAGUUCGGAUUGCAGUCUGCAACUCGACUGCAUGAAGUUGGAAUCGCUAGUAAUCGCGGAUCAGAACGCCGCGGUGAAUACGUUCCCGGGCCUUGUACACACCGCCCGUCACAUCACGAAAGUGGGCUGUACUAGAAGCCGCUGGCCUAACCUCUUCGGAGGAGGGAGGCGUCGACGGUAUGGUUCAUGAUUGGGGUGAAGUCGUAACAAGGUA
rnacentral:rRNA from 1 species